rnacentral:rRNA from 1 species
GCAAGUCGAACGAACGAACCUGGAGCUUGCUUCAGGCUAGUGAGUGGCAAACGGGUGAGUAACACGUGGGAAUCUACCUGUCAGUACGGAAUAACCCUUGGAAACAAGAGCUAAUACCGUAUAUUCUCUUCGGAGGAAAGAUUUAUCGCUGACAGAUGAGCCCGCGCAAGAUUAGGUAGUUGGUAGGGUAAUGGCCUACCAAGCCAACGAUCUUUAGCUGGUCUGAGAGGGGGAUC